GAGGGGUCAAAGGUCAACACGGGUCACACAUGAGCCCAGCUACCAUCACCCUGUAGGGACUAAUAAUGUUGACUAUUGAAUUGAACUGAGGAGAGGGGUUAGGGUAUGAGAGAGGAGCAGAUGCCUGUCAGGACAACAAAGAGACGUGCUGCUGUAUCACCGUAAACAUAAAGUCAUAACAGAGGAUUAGAAUGUUCAUUAUUUACCACCAUAAUGAGCAGCUCUGUGGACUUCGUGUGGGAGAGAGCUGAGCUACGCGUCUAAAUAUCAGAUUAAUUAUUUACUGCUAAUAAUGUGUGUGUGUGUGUGUGUGUGUGUGUGUGUACAUGCGUGUGGUCAUAGACCAUGUCUCUCUACUGUAGGUAUAGUACCUGGGCUUGGGUCGGGGUUAGAGACGAACAUACUGUAGGUAUAGUACCUGGGCUUGGGUCAUGGUUAGAGACUGACAUACUGUAGGUAUAGUACCUGGGCUUGGGUCAGGGUUAGAGACUGACAUACUGUAGGUAUAGUACCUGGGAGUGGAUCAGGGUUAGAGACUGACAUACUGUAGGUAUAGUACCUGGGUUUGGGUCAGGGUUAGAGACUGACAUACUGUAGGUAUAGUACCUGGGCUUGGGUCAGGGUUAGAGACUGACAUACUGUAGGUAUAGUACCUGGGCUUGGGUCAGGGUUAGAGACUGACAUACUGUAGGUAUAGUACCUGGGCUUGGGUCAGGGUUAGAGACUGACAUACUGUAGGUAUAGUUCCUGGGCUUGGGUCAUGGUUAGAGACUGACAUACUGUAGGUAUAGUACCUGGGCUUGGGUCAUGGUUAGAGACUUACAUACUGUAGGUAUAGUACCUGGGUUUGGGUCAGGGUUAGAGACUGACAUACUGUAGGUAUAGUUCCUGGGCUUGGGUCAGGGUUAGAGACUGACAUACUGUAGGUAUAGUACCUGGGAGUGGAUCAGGGUUAGAGACUGACAUACUGUAGGUAUAGUACCUGGGUUUGGGUCAGGGUUAGAGACUGACAUACUGUAGGUAUAGUACCUGGGUUUGG